ACGUACACUCCUACGGGAGGCAGCAGUGAGGAAUAUUGGACAAUGGGUGGAAGCCUGAUCCAGCCAUCCCGCGUGCAGGAAGACGGCCCUAUGGGUUGUAAACUGCUUUUAUCUGGGGAUAAACCUACUUACGUGUAAGUAGCUGAAGGUACCAGAAGAAUAAGCACCGGCUAACUCCGUGCCAGCAGCCGCGGUAAUACGGAGGGUGCAAGCGUUAUCCGGAUUUAUUGGGUUUAAAGGGUCCGUAGGCGGACUGAUAAGUCAGUGGUGAAAUCCGACAGCUUAACUGUCGAACUGCCAUUGAUACUGUUAGUCUUGAGUAAGGUUGAAGUGGCUGGAAUAAGUAGUGUAGCGGUGAAAUGCAUAGAUAUUACGUAGAACACCAAUUGCGAAGGCAGGUCACUAAGUCUUAACUGACGCUGAUGGACGAAAGCGGGGGGAGCGAACAGGAUUAGAAACCCUGGUAGUCCCA
rnacentral:rRNA from 1 species